UCUGAAAUAACCAUAAAGAAAAAAAAAUGCAAACUCCAACUUGGUAACUGUUAAGGCAUGGAAAUGUAUUUAUUUGGAAAUUGUAUAAACAUGUUGUAGAAACCUCUGAAUCAUAAAACACUUUUGAAUGUGGGAUUUUUCAAAGAAGAAAGUUAUUAAGCAAAAGCAUUGUUCACGUUUACGAAGAAACCACCACCAAAAAAUGAUUGUAAUUACAUCAAAGCCAGUUUAUGUAAACGAGAAAGAAGCGAAGUUUCAAAAACAUUUUCAAUUGAUUUGAAGGGAAUCGUAGUAUUGCCAGUUGCUAAAGGUGAUUAAACUUUAAGGUAAUUAGAAUUUUCUUUUAAUUUUAACUUGUUUCAAUCGAAGCAU